GACGAACGCUGGCGGCGUGCUUAACACAUGCAAGUCGAACGGAAAGGCCCUGCUUUUGUGGGGUGCUCGAGUGGCGAACGGGUGAGUAACACGUGAGUAACCUGCCCUUGACUUUGGGAUAACUUCAGGAAACUGGGGCUAAUACCGGAUAGGAGCUCCUGCUGCAUGGUGGGGGUUGGAAAGUUUCGGCGGUUGGGGAUGGACUGGCGGCUUAUCAGCUUGUUGGUGGGGUAGUGGCUUACCAAGGCUUUGACGGGUAGCCGGCCUGAGAGGGUGACCGGCCACAUUGGGACUGAGAUACGACCCAGACUCCUACGGGAGGCAGCAGUGGGGAAUAUUGCACAGUGGGCGGAAGCCUGAUGCAGCAACGCCGCGUGCGGGAUGACGGCCUUCGGGUUGUAAACCGCUUUCGCCUGUGACGAAGCGUGAGUGACGGUAAUGGGUAAAGAAGCACCGGCUAACUACGUG
rnacentral:rRNA from 1 species